AUCCUUCGGUUCAUAAGUGUGAUGAUUGGGUGUUCACGCUCUUGUGUGAGAUGUGCCUCCCUCUAAACCUUGUUACGACAYCGGCACAUUACCCGUCUGACG
rnacentral:snoRNA from 1 species